AAUCCCAAAUGGCUCCACACUGACAGCAGUGAGCUGGAUGUGGGGCUCAAACUCACAAACCAGAGAUCAUGACCUAAGCUGAAGUCAGUCACUUAACCAACUGAGCUACCCAGGAACACCUUCAGAUUGGAGUCUUUAAAGACAAUUUCUCACUAAAAGAAACUAUAUUAAGAAAUGGGUGAUUUCAAGUCUGGGAUAUGACACAAGAUGAACCGGAAGCAUCUUUCAUAACAAAAAACGGCUAAAGUCAUGUCAGAGGUCUCAGGAGCCAACUUAAAGGAUUUCACUGGGCAAAGACCUUGAAGGAAAGAAUCACCUGAAUGACAGCAAGCUUCAACACUGUCCCAGCAACACACUUGGGCCUUCAUCAACCCAUCAACUGUUGCAGCUGAACUCUUUUUACAGGCAUGUCCCCUAGUCAGAUCCAUCCCAGAACAAGAUGGACUCGUGAAUGGAGGACACUUCCCACUAAGAGCAGCUAAAAGCCCCGAGUGUUGUAUGUAAACCAAACAUGAGAAAACUCUGAAAGGUAGGGAGAAGGAUCCAAUUUACUAAGGACCGUGGGAUCUGAGGAAUGACAGGGAAAUGAGUUCUCUGAGUUUUCUUUUACUUAAUAUACCCUGGUCUGAGUGCUGGAGAAGCUGGCAACCUGGAAAUACUGUGGGGACAGAUUUAAAAAAACAAAACAAAACAAAACAAAGCCCAAGAAAUGCCUGCUCCCGCUAGCUAAAGAACCAGGAAAGGGGCAACCUAGAAAAUGUUUACACAGUAACUACCCAAUUCCAGCCAACUGGAGGAAAAAAUGCAACCUCACCCCAUCCCAGUCAGGGAAGGCUGAAUGGACAGUCUACACUCCCACCUUCACCCUAUUGUUACAGGACAGGCAGGGCAGCCAUGGUGACUCCUCUGACCUCGGCUGGAUGGUGUCAGAGAAGACCAAGUGGGGAGCCAGGCCCAGCUGACAGAGUGAUUAGCACAAAACAAGAUGACCCAAGUACACGCAAGGGCAUUAUGCAGAGUAAAAAAGAAAAGGCCAGUCUCAAAAAGGUCACAUCCUAUAUGAUUCCAUUUAUGUAACAUUCUUGAAAUGACAAAACUAUAGACAUGGAGAGCCGUGGUUGCCAGGGGUUAGAGAUAGUGGGGCAGGGAGGGGUAGGUAUGACUAUGAGGGGCUAGAGUGAGGAAGAUCUUUAUGGUGAUGGAAUAAUUUUGUAGCUUGCUUCUGGAAGUUGUUACAGGAACCUGUACAAGUGAUAAAAUGGCACAGAACUCUACACUCCCAUUGUACUCGUGUCAAUUUCCUGGUUUCGAUUUUAUGCUAUAGUUAAAAGUUUAUAGUCCGUUUUACGUUACAGAUGUAACUGAAGGGGGACACCUGGCUGGCUCGGUCGGUAGAGCAUGUGACUCUUGAUCUCAGGGUGGUGAGUUCAAGGCCCAGGUUGCAUGUAGAGGUGACUUAAAAAAAAAAGAUGUAAAAGGGGGGAAAUGGAUGAAGGGUACAAAGGACCUCUCUGUACAACUUUUACAUGUUCCUAUGAAUCUAUAAUUAUUUCAAAAUUAAAAGUUUAAAGAAAGUGUUAUCCUCCGAUUUUCAUACUUCUGAUAGUUAUUAAAAUUAUAAUCCAAAUUUUCGCAGCUCUCUGCUUUCUGGGGACAAUGCCGAAAUUGAUUGUAUUUUACCGCUCCUUUAGAAGUUAGAUGUGGCAGGGGGUCUGAUUUGGCCAU